rnacentral:rRNA from 1 species
UACGGGGGGGGCAAGCGUUGUUCGGAAUUACUGGGCGUAAAGGGCUCGUAGGCGGCCAACUAAGUCGGAUGUGAAAUCCCCAGGCUUAACCUGGGAACUGCAUCCGAUACUGGAUGGCUUGAAUCCGGGAGAGGGAUGCAGAAUUCCAGGUGUAGCGGUGAAAUGCGUAGAUAUCUGGAGGAACACCGGUGGCGAAGGCGGCAUCCUGGACCGGCAUUGACGCUGAGGCGCGAAAGCUGAGGGAGCAAACGGG